rnacentral:rRNA from 1 species
UACGGGGGGGGCAAGCGUUGUUCGGAAUUACUGGGCGUAAAGGGCUCGUAGGCGGCCAACUAAGUCAGACGUGAAAUCCCUAGGCUCAACCUAGGAACUGCGUCUGAUACUGGAUGGCUUGAAUCCGGGAGAGGGAUGCAGAAUUCCAGGUGUAGCGGUGAAAUGCGUAGAUAUCUGGAGGAAUACCGGUGGCGAAGGCGGCAUCCUGGACCGGCAUUGACGCUGAGGUGCGAAAGCGUGGGGAGCAAACAGG